rnacentral:misc_RNA from 1 species
GAUGAAGAACGUAGCGAAAUGCGAUAAGUAGUGUGAAUUGCAGAAUUCAGUGAAUCAUCGAAUCUUUGAACGCACCUUGCACCCUUUGGCAUUCCGAAGGGUAUGCUCGUUUGAGUGUCAUUGUACUCUCACACUUCUAAUUCCUUUCGGGAUUGGGAGCGGUGGACUUGGGUGUUGCUGCUUUAGUUGUGGCUCACCUCAAAUAAGUUAGUGCAACUCUUGGUUGGACAUAGUACGGCGUGAUAAGUGUCUUCGCCGGCGCCUCUGUAAGGAGGGUGGCCGAUCGGGAGCUCUGUGCUUCAAACCGUCUUCGGACAAUCUUUGACAACUUGACCUCAAAUCGAGUAGGACUACCCGCUGAACUUAAGCAUAUCAAUAAGCGGAGGA